rnacentral:tRNA from 1 species
UAGAUGGGUGUCCGAGCGGUUGAAGGAGCACGCCUGGAACGCGUGUAAAGUGCAAGCUUUCGAGGGUUCGAAUCCCUUCCCAUCUGCCAC